UACGUAGGGGGCAAGCGUUGUCCGGAUUUAUUGGGCGUAAAGAGCGUGUAGGCGGCCAUACAGGUCCGUUGUGAAAACUCGAGGCUCAACCUCGAGACGUCGAUGGAAACCGUAUGGCUAGAGUCCGGAAGAGGAGAGUGGAAUUCCUGGUGUAGCGGUGAAAUGCGCAGAUAUCAGGAAGAACACCCGUGGCGAAGGCGGCUCUCUGGGUCUCUUCUGACGCUGAGGCACGAAAGCUAGGGUAGCGAACGGG
rnacentral:rRNA from 1 species